CGCACAGCACGGUACCGGCCUUCUCCUGUCCUUGGGGGAAGCAGGAUGGGCCUCUGGCUUCUAAGCCGCACAAGUAGUUCACCCCUAAUCUCAAGCCCCAGAAGUCAAGGGAGGGGCAAUCAGACCUGUGCUCCUAGCCGAGGGUGUCUCAACAGUGGCGUGAUUGGCAUUUGGGGUGAAUGAUUCUUUGUCAUGGGGGCUGUCCUGUGCAUCCACGGUGUUUCUAGCAUCCUAACCUUACACCCAUUCAAUGCCAGUAGGAGCCCCCCUCUCCAGUGGUGACAACCAAAAUGUCUUCAGAUAUUGCAAAAUAUCGCAGGGGAGGGUCAAGAUUGUCCCCAGUGGAGGCCCACUGCCCCAGACCUUACUUCCUGGUCCUACUUCUAUUUUUACGGCAAAUAAAACAUCUGACCAAUGACAUGGGGCCACAGUGGUGGUGGAGGACACCUCGCAGCUUCUUCGCCAUAUAGAACCCUCUGGCCAAAUGCCAUCCUAUGGCCUUCCCCACUCUCUUUCACCCGAUGCCCCCUCUGCUGAUCUUCCUCCCCGACAACCAGCUGGGAGUGGAUCCCAUCCCAAGCUGUGCCUGCAGCUCAGCUUCCAAUCAGGGCACUUGUGUUGAGGGCUUCCACCUCCAGGGAGCCCUCCCCCUAGUCCACUCUGCUCUCUGCAGCCUCUGAACCACCCCCCACCCAGCACUGUGACAAGCGUCACACGUGCCUCGGGGUGGCUGAUCCCAUUUCCUUCCUCAGAAUCGCAUGUGGCGCAAGACUCGGUCCCACACAGCAGGCUCCCUCUGUAUUGGCGUGGACCCCAACAGGAACUGGGACGCCGGCUUUGGGUGUAAGGCCCAGAGUGUCUUGGGAGCAAGGAUGGGAUGGCCUCGAAUGGCUCCUCACCACUGCUCUUGCUCCCCGCCUCUCUCCUGCCCCUGCAGCGAGGGGAGGGUUGGGGGUGGCAGCUCUGCCUCUGAGGGCUCUUGGGGAUGGAGGCUGUGCUCUGAGAGUUGGUUGUUACUCGCCUGCAAAAGGCAAGUUGCUUGCAAAUGGGCUAAGGUCUGAAAUCCUACCUAGGGGGCUUCUAGCUUAACCUCAAGUCCUCCCUCCUUGGCCAUGUCUCUGUGAGAACUGGUCUCCACUGAGGAGCCCGUCUUCCCUCCCUGGGUGUGUCCAUCAGCUCUGCCCAAACCAGGCUGGGAGGGCAGCUCCCCCAGGUUAUAGAAGGCCUUUGGGCUUUCCUGAAUCCAGGGGAGGGAGUGAGCCCUUCCAUACCACCUCACCCCCAACUCCAUGCAAAGAACUGGAUUCCAGAAGCCACAGAAGCUGGAGGAGCCACACCGCCAUGCCCUCUGUCCCCCCACAGUGUCCGGAGCCAGCAGUAACCCCUGCUCGGAGACUUACCAUGGCAAGUUUGCCAAUUCCGAAGUGGAGGUCAAGUCCAUUGUAGACUUUGUGAAGGACCAUGGGAACAUCAAGGCCUUCAUCUCCAUCCACAGCUACUCCCAGCUCCUCAUGUAUCCCUAUGGCUACAAAACAGAACCAGUCCCUGACCAGGAUGAGCUGGAUCAGCUUUCCAAGGCUGCUGUGACAGCCCUGGCCUCUCUCUACGGGACCAAGUUCAAUUAUGGCAGCAUCAUCAAGGCAAUUUAUCAAGCCAGUGGAAGCACUAUUGACUGGACCUACAGCCAGGGCAUCAAGUACUCCUUCACCUUCGAGCUCCGGGACACUGGGCGCUAUGGCUUCCUGCUGCCAGCCUCCCAGAUCAUCCCCACGGCCAAGGAGACGUGGCUGGCGCUUCUGACCAUCAUGGAGCACACCCUGAAUCACCCCUACUGAGCUGACCCUUUGACACCCUUCUUGUCCUCCUCUCUGGCCCCAUCCAGGCAACCAAAUAAAGUUUGAGUGUACCAGGAACAGAAUCCUGGGGCUUGC
rnacentral:sRNA from 1 species